UGGGGAGGCAGAGGCAGGAGGAUGUCUGUGAGUUCGAGACCAGCCUGGUUUACAGUUCCACGACAGCCUCCAAAGCCACAGAGAAACCCUGUCUCGAAAAACCAAAAAAAAAAAGAUUUGAGAUUUUUAUGUGUGCAUCUUCCAUGUCAUUGGCUAGUUGGUUGGCAAAUAGGCCUAAGGUGGUGAUGACCUAGAAAUACAUUGCUCUGUCUGGUAGCACGUAUGAAUGAUAUGGGUCUCAUUUUCCUGGAAAAGGUUUAUCUGUCCUUCAGCCCUCCAAAUGCUAGGAUGACAGGUGUUAACCACCAGGGGUAGCUGUCAAAACCCUAAUGGAAGUUGACCUACAUUGAGAAGAUUCAGUUUGGUGAAACUGCCCCCCCCCCCAUUAAAAUACAUUGUUCUCUUGUUCGAACUCUCUAAACUCAUUUUAUAUGGGUUAAAAACAGCUUAUAUUCACAUGCCGUAAUAAUAUUUAUAAAGUGCUUAGCUAUAUAUUCAUGUAUAAUAAACAUAUAUUGAACAUUC